rnacentral:rRNA from 1 species
CAGCAGUGGGGAAUAUUGCACAAUGGGCGCAAGCCUGAUGCAGCCAUGCCGCGUGUGUGAAGAAGGCCUUCGGGUUGUAAAGCACUUUCAGUCAGGAGGAAAGGUUAGUAGUUAAUACCUGCUAGCUGUGACGUUACUGACAGAAGAAGCACCGGCUAACUCCGUGCCAGCAGCCGCGGUAAUACGGAGGGUGCGAGCGUUAAUCGGAAUUACUGGGCGUAAAGCGUACGCAGGCGGUUUGUUAAGCGAGAUGUGAAAGCCCCGGGCUCAACCUGGGAACUGCAUUUCGAACUGGCAAACUAGAGUGUGAUAGAGGGUGGUAGAAUUUCAGGUGUAGCGGUGAAAUGCGUAGAGAUCUGAAGGAAUACCGAUGGCGAAGGCAGCCACCUGGGUCAACACUGACGCUCAUGUACGAAAGCGUGGGGAGCAAACAGGAUUAGAUACCCUGGUAGUCCACGCCGUAAACGAUGUCUACUAGAAGCUCGGAACUUCGGUUCUGUUUUUCAAAGCUAACGCAUUAAGUAGACCGCCUGGGGAGUACGGCCGCAAGGUUAAAACUCAAAUGAAUUGACGGGGGCCCGCACAAGCGGUGGAGCAUGUGGUUUAAUUCGAUGCAACGCGAAGAACCUUACCUACAC